GGGUGACCUGCGGAAGGAUCAUUACCGAGUGCGGGCUGCCUCCGGGCGCCCAACCUCCCACCCGUGACUACCUAACACUGUUGCUUCGGCGGGGAGCCCUCUCGGGGGCGAGCCGCCGGGGACUACUGAACUUCAUGCCUGAGAGUGAUGCAGUCUGAGUCUGAAUAUAAAAUCAGUCAAAACUUUCAACAAUGGAUCUCUUGGUUCCGGCAUCGAUGAAGAACGCAGCGAACUGCGAUAAGUAAUGUGAAUUGCAGAAUUCAGUGAAUCAUCGAGUCUUUGAACGCACAUUGCGCCCCCUGGCAUUCCGGGGGGCAUGCCUGUCCGAGCGUCAUUGCUGCCCAUCAAGCCCGGCUUGUGUGUUGGGUCGUCGUCCCCCCCGGGGGACGGGCCCGAAAGGCAGCGGCGGCACCGUGUCCGGUCCUCGAGCGUAUGGGGCUUUGUCACCCGCUCGAUUAGGGCCGGCCGGGCGCCAGCCGACGUCUCCAACCAUUUUCUUCAGGUGACCUCGGAUCAGGUAGAUGCCCCAC
rnacentral:rRNA from 1 species